GUGCUCACUUCAGCAGCACAUAUACUAAAAAUAGAACAAUACAGAGAUUAGCAUAGGUUCUGCAAAAGGAUGACAUGCAAAUCCAUGAAGCAUUCCAAAUUUUU